UUGUUCUCCAUUGGAUCAGCUUCUUGGGUAAAUUGUUUUUUUUUUCUUUUAAAUCAUCACCGACUAUCGAUUUUACAAUCUAGGGUUUCACUAGUAGAAAAAAUGAAAUAGGCACCCCCCCUUUAGCACCAGUUCUUGAAAACCGGUGCCGAAAGAAAUUGGCGGGAUUGAAAAAUUCGGUUUUGGCACCAGUUCGCCUUAAACCGGUGCCAACUAUGGUAAUUAGCACCGGUUCAAACCGGUGCGAAUUAAAAAAAAGGCAAAAAAACCAAAAAAAAAAUUUGAAUUAAAAUUUCGAGUAUAAACCCUUUUGCUCUCCGCCUCUUUUCGUUCUCUAAUCUCCUCUCUCAUCUGUUCUUCUCUUUCCUCUCUCCUCUCUUUUCCCUCUUCUCUGUACUCAUAUCUCUUCUCUAUACUCAUCUGUUCUUCAUCCUCUCUCCUUUCUUCGUUUUCUUUUCUCACGAAUUGCUAGAUUCUCUCUUCUGCUCGAUUAUCUGUUCAGUAAUCACCCAAAUCGAAAGUUUCAGGAAAGGGAAAUCAGCUAAAACGGAAACACGAUUCAGGGGGCAUAAAGGAGGAAAGAAAACAAACAAAAGAGCAGAAAAUUACAACAGCUAAAACAAGCAUGAAGAUUGAUGAUUUCACAAAUUACCUAUUAUUUUUGUAAUUAUUCCGGUGGGAUAAAUUUUUCUUCUUUCAGGCCUCAUUAUUAAUCCCAUUCAGGCUAUUCUUUAUGUCUUAGUUCGACCCUUGUCAAAAGAUAUGUAUCGGAAAUUUAACAAAGUAGUAACAAAACUAUUAUGGUUGGAGACUGUUUGGCUCUUUGAUUGGUGGGCUGGCACGAAGGUUUGAAUCGACAUUGAUUUGCUUUUAGAUACAUUUACGUUUUCUGUUUUUGUUUUUCCUUUGUUAAAAAAUCGGGUUGUUAUAGGUGGAGUUGCACACUUUGUUUUUCCUUUAGCUGUUUGCAUGUAUCUAGAUUUAUGUCAUUGAGACAUGUAUUACUUGCAUUAGUUUCAAGCUUUUUAACAUGUGAAUCUUUGUGUCGAGCUUCAGUAACCCGUAUGGCCUGUGUCUGACUCUUGACAUGAUACAUUGGAUAAGGGUGUGAGUGUUUGAAGCCUAGAACAAUUUGAAUUUGAACAAUGUUAUGAAGUGCUUUCUGGAUGUUAGGAUCCCUACACAAACAUGAUUAUUGUCUCGAAGUUGAGAUAUUAUGGAUUUGGAGUUUAGUAUUGUGUUAUUAAGUGGAAGUGU